AUAUAUAUAUUUUAGAGCCUCAAUAGCUCAACCGGCAAAGACUGGACUGUAAACCGAAAGGUCAACGGUUCAACCCGCCCGUUGCACUAUUGUCGUACCUACUCCUAGCACAAGCCUGACGCUUAAUUGGAGAGGAAAGGGGAAUAUUAGUCAUUUAACAUGGCUAAUAUUCUUU